ensembl:lncRNA
CACGCGCAGCACCGCGGGCUGCUGGCUCGAGCUCCAAAGAGCUUCAUGUUUCCUGUCCUCGUGCCUCUGUCCCUCAUUCCGUCAACGAGAACACCCGACGUCAACACGUACGCUGAGCUGGCCGGGGGUUGCUACACACCAGGGGUCGGUACAAUACACACUAGCAGGGGGAAGGGGGGAUGGGGGUUCUUCCCGAAUACUUGCUUUCACCUGCCGGACCGGAGUGCAGCGCGCUUGCAGACCGGAGCGGCUCGUGUUGGUUUGGCUCGAGCCAGCGACCAGGUGACCCGGUUGCCCACGCGCCGCCGUUUUAACCUCGGCGUCAUCGAAUCGUUAACGGGCGUGCGCCGUUGGACGUGUGUGGAGAAGACCUGCUGAACGUGUGAGGAGGACCUCCGUGGAGACUUGAGGACCGCGAGGAGGACCUCCGUGGACACCUGAGGACAUCCGUGGACACCUGGGGACCAUGAAGACUGUUAGCCGCCGUGUCCCGUGGAGGGUGACGACCAGUUAAGUCCCGUGUCUGACUGUGAAGAU